rnacentral:rRNA from 1 species
AACGCACCUUGCGCCCUUUGGUAUUCCGAAGGGCAUGCCUGUUUGAGUGUCAUUAAAUUAUCAACCUUGCUCGCUUUUACCGGCUUGAGUUAGGCUUGGAUGUGAGGGCUUUGCUGGCUUCCUUCAGUGGAUGGUCUGCUCCCUUUAAAUGCAUUAGUGGGAUCUCUUGUGGACCGUCACUUGGUUGUGAUAAUUAUCUACGCCAACGCCUCAGGCCUCUUCAGCGGCGCUGCUUACAGCCGUCCCGACGGACAAUUUUAAAGCUUUGGCCUCGAAUCAGGUAGGACUACCCGCUGAACUUAA